rnacentral:rRNA from 1 species
UACGUAGGUCGCAAGCGUUGUCCGGAUUUACUGGGCGUAAAGAGCGCGCAGGCGGCUGGUCAAGUCCGAUGUGAAAUCUCCCAGCUCAACUGGGAAACUGCAUCGGAAACUGAUCGGCUUGAAGAUGGGAGAGGGUAGUGGAAUUCCCGGUGUAGUGGUGAAAUGCGUAGAUAUCGGGAGGAACACCAGUGGCGAAGGCGACUACCUGGCCCAUUCUUGACGCUGAGGCGCGAAAGCUAGGGGAGCGAACGGG